rnacentral:rRNA from 1 species
AUUGAACGCUGGCGGCAGGCCUAACACAUGCAAGUCGAGCGGAUGAAGGGAGCUUGCUCCUGGAUUCAGCGGCGGACGGGUGAGUAAUGCCUAGGAAUCUGCCUGGUAGUGGGGGAUAACGUCCGGAAACGGGCGCUAAUACCGCAUACGUCCUGAGGGAGAAAGUGGGGGAUCUUCGGACCUCACGCUAUCAGAUGAGUCUAGGUCGGGUUAGCUAGUUGGUGGGGUAAAGGCCUACCAAGGCGACGAUCCGUAACUGGUCUGAGAGGAUGAUCAGUCACACUGGAACUGAGACACGGUCCAGACUCCUACGGGAGGCAGCAGUGGGGAAUAUUGGACAAUGGGCGAAAGCCUGAUCCAGCCAUGCCGCGUGUGUGAAGAAGGUCUUCGGAUUGUAAAGCACUUUAAGUUGGGAGGAAGGGCAGUAAGUUAAUACCUUGCUGUUUUGACGUUACCAACAGAAUAAGCACCGGCUAACUUCGUG